rnacentral:rRNA from 1 species
UACGUAGGUGGCAAGCGUUGUCCGGAUUUACUGGGCGUAAAGGGCGUGCAGGCGGUUUGUUAAGUUCAGGGUGAAAGCUCCCGGCUCAACUGGGAGAGGUCCUUGGAUACUGGCAGACUUGAGGAGGGUAGAGGAGAGUGGAAUUCCCGGUGUAGUGGUGAUAUGCGUAGAUAUCGGGAGGAACACCAGUGGCGAAGGCGGCUCUCUGGGCCCUACCUGACGCUGAGACGCGAAAGCGUGGGUAGCAAACAGG